GAUUUUUUUCUUGUAAGUGAUUAGGCCCACUGAUUUAAAAAGGAAAAAACAGACUGUUAUCAGAAUAGUCAAUAUUAACAGUUCAGAAAGCAAUAGGACAUUUAAGAAACCCAAGAGGAAAAUAUGAGGUUUAAAAUAUGUCAGAAGAGGAAAAAAAAAAGAUAACUUUUGAAUUGACAGUUUAGAGAUCUUGCAACGAGCCAGAAAAGAUACUUGAAACAUGAAUUGAUGAAGAUAAUAGGAAGAUGAGAACUGAUAUAUUAUUGGAGAGAACUGGCAGACAGUUGUGACUUGUGGAGAUAAAAACCACAGUCAUAUCAAAGAGGACUACAGAGCUAUAGCUCAGAAGACUUAGAAGAUGAUCACAGCGGAAAUAUAAGACACAUGAGAAAGACAACUGUAAUUAUAAGAGACAGUGCCACAAAAGGGAGGUUCUACAAGUUGGAAAACUUUGAAAAUUAUCUUGAAGAUCCCAAGAAAUAUGCUAAGAUUCUAAAAGGAGAAACAAAAUCACUAAACUGCUAUUAAUAUAUCUUGCUGUUAAUGUAUGGAAAUGCCACCAAUUUUUGUAUGUUGAUUACACUAAAAGUUUACUUUGAUCAUCUAUGAGAAAGUGAUGGUCUUCACAAAAUAGUGUUGGAAAAGUGAAUAUUCACAUUUAGAAGAAUGAAAUUGGAUUUUUUUUCUCAAACCAUAUGCUACAAUAAAUUCAAAAUGGAUUAAAGAUGCUCCUCGUAAGGACAGAAGCAGCAAAAUGUUAACAAAGAACAAAGAGCAGAAAUACUACAUAACAUCAGGAUGGAUAAUGAGUUUUUAGAUUUGACUCCAACACAAACAAAACUAAACUAAACUAAACUAAAGGGGAUUACAUUAAAUUAAAAGGGUUCUACAUAGCAAUGGAAUUAAUUACUACUAUAACAAACUACAGUUAAGCAGAAAAUGUUUGCACACUGUACAUCCAAUCAAAGGUUUUAUUCAAGCUCUAUGAUGUGGCUCUACUGGGCAUCAUGGCCCAUGCCUGCAAUUGUAAAACCUGGGAGGCUGAGGCAGGAGGACUGCUGAGAGUUCAAGGGCGGUCAGGGCUUCAAAAACCAAAAUCAAACAAGCAAAAAGAUAAAGUGGCUCAAACAAAUCAAUAGCAAGAAAAAAUAUUAGAUUAAAAAAUGGACAAAGUAGGACUGGGGAUUUAACUCAGUGGCAUAGUGCUUGCAUGGCAAGCAUGAGCUUGAUCCCUGGUUUAAAAAUAAAAAUAGCAAGCAAAGACCUUACACAGCUAUUACUAAUAUUCAAAAGCUACACAAACACCGCAUAACAUACUUAAUAAUUAAUGAAAUGUAAAUAAAAACAAAUGUAGAUGUCAUCUCAUGCCUAUUAGAAUGAGUGUAAUCAAAAAUGUAAAAAACACUUUGGAAAGGAUAUGGAAAGGAGUGUAUAUUGUUGAUGCAAAUAUGUAUAUUACUAGUCAUUAUGGAAAUACACACGGCAUUUCCUCAAAAACAUGACAGAAGAAUUAUCAUAUACUACAUCAAUCCUACUUCGAGGGAUUACCUUCAAAAGAUUAGAAAAUAGAAAUUAGAAAUAUUUGAGCAGAUAUCAGAACUUUCAUGUUCAUCGCAUCACUAUUCACAAUAGCCACAUUAUGGAAUCACCCUUACCUACACGCAUAGAUAAAUAGAUAAAGGAAGUGUGAGAUAUACACAUAUACAUAUAUGUAAUUGAAUGCCUUAAAAAAAAGAAAACCUUAGGAAAGAAAAUUUUGUCCUUUGCAACAAAUGGAUGGAAUUGGUGAUCAAUGGUGAUCAUGGAUGGAAUUAGUGCAUGAGGUCAGGUAUGAAAAGACAAAUAUUGCAAGAUCUCACUUAUCUGCAGAAGCUCAAACAAGCACUAGAAACAGAGGCGAACGGUGAUUACGAAUGCCAGGGUUUGGGGAAAUGUGAUGGAAGGAAAGUGUUCACAGGGUGUAAAGUCUCAGUUAUAUAGACUGAGCAUUGAUUUUGUUUUGUUUUGAUUCAGAUCUACUGCACAGUGUGGUGAAUAUAGUUUAAGAAAGAGUACUGUAGGGCUUGGGAUUUAGCUCAGCGGCAUAAGCGCCUGCCUUGCAAGCAGGCAGUCGUGAGUUUGAUCCCUGGUACCGAUAAAAAGGAAAAAGACAAAAAAAAAGAAAGAGUACUGUGCAUUUCACGCUUGCUGAGAGCACAUUUUAAAUGCUCUCACCAUAAAAAAAUGUGUUUAGUAUUUGUAGUGAUGGAGAUGUUCAGGAAUUCAAUUUAAUUAUUGCACAUUGUACUCUGCAUUCACAAAGCAUAGCUUCAUUUUGUGGUCCAUAAUAUUCAAAAUUAUAAAUUUCCAAUUUACAAUAAAAAAUAAAAUAUACCAUGUC